ACCUGCGCAGCCAUUUCGCGCUCAGUCAAACCGCCACAGAUCUGAAUCAGACGGUCAGAAAGCGUCGAUUUACCGUGGUCGAUGUGGGCGAUGAUGGAGAAAUUUCGUAUGUGCUUCAUUAUAGAGACUUUUCUGCCUUACAAAUUCUGGGACUCUCGCGACGGAAAAUUUCGGAGAGCAUCAUUUCACAGGCGGACUUUUGUCCGAAAGGCUGCAUUCUACACUACAUAUCAGAGUCGUGGAAUCAUCGUCAGCAAGCGAUAAACGUAAGAAAAAGCAAGUGGAGGUUUUUUUAGCAGCAUCAGGGGGAAAAUUGCAGGUCUGAAUCGAUAACUGGCCGCCGCGAUUGCGGCGUUGACCAGUUAAACUUCACUCUCAACGCGCAGCACAUCAGGCGGUAAAGAAACGCUUAAAAUAACCGGCUGGAAAGCUUCACGAUCACCAAAACGGCUUGAAAUGCCCUUCGCAAUGAUAAAACCACCGAUACCACCCAGCAGAGCGCCAGCCGCAGCCGCCAGAUCGCUGUGGAACAAGCUCUGGAACAGGCCAGCCAGCACAAAUAACCCCAGUAAUGGCGUCAUAUACACCAGCAGUGCCGACCCCAACAAGCUGCUCUCUUUGAUGCCCAGUUCAAUACGCUGACCCGCUUGCAGCGGUUUCUCGCUGGCAAUCUGCAUCACAUGGGCAUUUUUCGGCCCAAGCUUAUUCAGCAUAUGACUGCCACAGCCUUUACGCGCCGAGCAACUGUUGCAUGAGGUUUUAAUUUCGGAAUGCAGUGUCGCAAUCCCGUUUUGCCACGAAACCACCGUGGCCCAUUCUCUCAUCAUCGUUUGGUUCCAAAAUCGAUACGGUCAGCAAUGCGU
rnacentral:ncRNA from 1 species